rnacentral:rRNA from 1 species
GGGUUGUGAGGUUAAGCGACUAAGCGUACACGGUGGAUGCCCUGGCAGUCAGAGGCGAUGAAGGGCGUGCUAAUCUGCGAUAAGCGCCGGUAAGGUGAUAUGAACCGUUAUAACCGGCGAUACCCGAAUGGGGAAACCCAGUGUGAUUCGUCACACUAUCAUUAACUGAAUCCAUAGGUUAAUGAGGCGAACCGGGGGAACUGAAACAUCUAAGUACCCCGAGGAAAAGAAAUCAACCGAGAUUCCCCCAGUAGCGGCGAGCGAACGGGGAGGAGCCCAGAGCCUGAAUCAGCAUGUGUGUUAGUGGAAGCGUCUGGAAAGGCGCGCGAUACAGGGUGACAGCCCCGUACACAAAAGCGCAUGUGCUGUGAGCUCGAUGAGUAGGGCGGGACACGUGGUAUCCUGUCUGAAUAUGGGGGGACCAUCCUCCAAGGCUAAAUACUCCUGACUGACCGAUAGUGAACCAGUACCGUGAGGGAAAGGCGAAAAGAACCCCGGCGAGGGGAGUGAAAAAGAACCUGAAACCGUGUACGUACAAGCAGUGGGAGCCCCACCACCAAAGCGUUUCGCUUUGUGUGGUGCACAAAGAAGCGUAACGACAGCACUGAAUGACGGUUAACGGAGCGCAAGCGACGUUCAACAUACAAAGUCAAGCAGUGGAGCGCUUUGGGGUGGGGUGACUGCGUACCUUUUGUAUAAUGGGUCAGCGACUUAUAUUCUGUAGCAAGGUUAACCGUAUAGGGGAGCCGCAGGGAAACCGAGUCUUAAUUGGGCGUUAAGUUGCAGGGUAUAGACCCGAAACCCGGUGAUCUAGCCAUGGGCAGGUUGAAGGUUGGGUAACACUAACUGGAGGACCGAACCGACUAAUGUUGAAAAAUUAGCGGAUGACCUGUGGCUGGGGGUGAAAGGCCAAUCAAACCGGGAGAUAGCUGGUUCUCCCCGAAAGCUAUUUAGGUAGCGCCUCGUGAAUUCAUCUCCGGGGGUAGAGCACUGUUUCGGCUAGGGGGCCAUCCCGGCUUACCAACCCGAUGCAAACUGCGAAUACCGGAGAAUGUUAUCACGGGAGACACACGGCGGGUGCUAACGUCCGUCGUGAAGAGGGAAACAACCCAGACCGCCAGCUAAGGUCCCAAAGUCAUGGUUAAGUGGGAAACGAUGUGGGAAGGCCCAGACAGCCAGGAUGUUGGCUUAGAAGCAGCCAUCAUUUAAAGAAAGCGUAAUAGCUCACUGGUCGAGUCGGCCUGCGCGGAAGAUGUAACGGGGCUAAACCAUGCACCGAAGCUGCGGCAGCGACACUCAGGUGUUGUUGGGUAGGGGAGCGUUCUGUAAGCCUGCGAAGGUGGCCUGUGAGGGUUGCUGGAGGUAUCAGAAGUGCGAAUGCUGACAUAAGUAACGAUAAAGCGGGUGAAAAGCCCGCUCGCCGGAAGACCAAGGGUUCCUGUCCAACGUUAAUCGGGGCAGGGUGAGUCGACCCCUAAGGCGAGGCCGAAAGGCGUAGUCGAUGGGAAACGGGUUAAUAUUCCCGUACUUGGUGUUACUGCGAAGGGGGGACGGAGAAGGCUAUGUUGGCCGGGCGACGGUUGUCCCGGUUUAAGCGUGUAGGUGUGUGUUCCAGGUAAAUCCGGUUCACUUUAACACUGAGGCGUGACGACGAGGCACUACGGUGCUGAAGCAACAAAUGCCCUGCUUCCAGGAAAAGCCUCUAAGCAUCAGGUAACAUCAAAUCGUACCCCAAACCGACACAGGUGGUCAGGUAGAGAAUACCAAGGCGCUUGAGAGAACUCGGGUGAAGGAACUAGGCAAAAUGGUGCCGUAACUUCGGGAGAAGGCACGCUGACACGUAGGUGAAGUGAUUUACUCAUGGAGCUGAAGUCAGUCGAAGAUACCAGCUGGCUGCAACUGUUUAUUAAAAACACAGCACUGUGCAAACACGAAAGUGGACGUAUACGGUGUGACGCCUGCCCGGUGCCGGAAGGUUAAUUGAUGGGGUCAGCGCAAGCGAAGCUCCUGAUCGAAGCCCCGGUAAACGGCGGCCGUAACUAUAACGGUCCUAAGGUAGCGAAAUUCCUUGUCGGGUAAGUUCCGACCUGCACGAAUGGCGUAAUGAUGGCCAGGCUGUCUCCACCCGAGACUCAGUGAAAUUGAACUCGCUGUGAAGAUGCAGUGUACCCGCGGCAAGACGGAAAGACCCCGUGAACCUUUACUAUAGCUUGACACUGAACAUUGAGCCUUGAUGUGUAGGAUAGGUGGGAGGCUUUGAAGUGUGGACGCCAGUCUGCAUGGAGCCGACCUUGAAAUACCACCCUUUAAUGUUUGAUGUUCUAACGUGGACCCGUGAUCCGGGUUGCGGACAGUGUCUGGUGGGUAGUUUGACUGGGGCGGUCUCCUCCUAAAGAGUAACGGAGGAGCACGAAGGUUGGCUAAUCCUGGUCGGACAUCAGGAGGUUAGUGCAAUGGCAUAAGCCAGCUUGACUGCGAGCGUGACGGCGCGAGCAGGUGCGAAAGCAGGUCAUAGUGAUCCGGUGGUUCUGAAUGGAAGGGCCAUCGCUCAACGGAUAAAAGGUACUCCGGGGAUAACAGGCUGAUACCGCCCAAGAGUUCAUAUCGACGGCGGUGUUUGGCACCUCGAUGUCGGCUCAUCACAUCCUGGGGCUGAAGUAGGUCCCAAGGGUAUGGCUGUUCGCCAUUUAAAGUGGUACGCGAGCUGGGUUUAGAACGUCGUGAGACAGUUCGGUCCCUAUCUGCCGUGGGCGCUGGAGAACUGAGGGGGGCUGCUCCUAGUACGAGAGGACCGGAGUGGACGCAUCACUGGUGUUCGGGUUGUCAUGCCAAUGGCACUGCCCGGUAGCUAAAUGCGGAAGAGAUAAGUGCUGAAAGCAUCUAAGCACGAAACUUGCCCCGAGAUGAGUUCUCCCUGAGACUUAGAGUCUCCUGAAGGAACGUUGAAGACGACGACGUUGAUAGGCCGGGUGUGUAAGCGCAGCGAUGCGUUGAGCUAACCGGUACUAAUGAACCGUGAGGCUUAACCUUACAACGCCGAAG